UUUUACAAUGGAGAGUUUGAUCCUGGCUCAGGAUGAACGCUAGCUACAGGCUUAACACAUGCAAGUCGAGGGGAAACGAUAUUGGAAGCUUGCUUCCGAUAGGCGUCGACCGGCGCACGGGUGAGUAACGCGUAUCCAACCUGCCCAUCACUUGGGGAUAACCUUGCGAAAGUAAGACUAAUACCCAAUGAUAUCUCUAGAAGACAUCUGAAAGAGAUUAAAGAUU
rnacentral:rRNA from 1 species